UACAGAGGGUGCGAGCGUUAAUCGGAAUUACUGGGCGUAAAGGGCGCGUAGGCGGUUUGUUAAGAUAGAUGUGAAAUCCCUGGGCUUAACCUAGGAACUGCAUCUGUGACUGAUGGACUAGAGUACUGUAGAGGGUAGUGGAAUUUCCGGUGUAGCGGUGAAAUGCGUAGAGAUCGGAAGGAACACCAGUGGCGAAGGCGGCUACCUGGACAGAUACUGACGCUGAGGCGCGAGAGCGUGGGGAGCAAACAGA
rnacentral:rRNA from 1 species